GACAGAGGGUGCAAACGUUGCUCGGAAUUACUGGGCGUAAAGCGCGUGUAGGCGGUUCCGCCAGUCUGGUGUGAAAGCCCGGGGCUCAACCCCGGAAGCGCAUUGGAUACUACGGAGCUUGAGUCCUGAAGAGGAGAGCGGAAUUCCCGGUGUAGCGGUGAAAUGCGCAGAUAUCGGGAGGAACACCAAUGGCGAAGGCAGCUCGCUGGGACGUGACUGACGCUGAGACGCGAAAGCGUGGGGAGCAAACAGG
rnacentral:rRNA from 1 species